rnacentral:rRNA from 1 species
CGGACAGUGUCUGGUGGGUAGUUUGACUGGGGCGGUCUCCUCCUAAAGAGUAACGGAGGAGCACGAAGGUCAGCUAAUCCUGGUCGGACAUCAGGAGGUUAGUGCAAUGGCAUAAGCUGGCUUGACUGCGAGCGUGACGGCGCGAGCAGGUGCGAAAGCAGGUCAUAGUGAUCCGGUGGUUCUGAAUGGAAGGGCCAUCGCUCAACGGAUAAAAGGUACUCCGGGGAUAACAGGCUGAUACCGCCCAAGAGUUCAUAUCGACGGCGGUGUUUGGCACCUCGAUGUCGGCUCAUCACAUCCUGGGGCUGAAGUAGGUCCCAAGGGUAUGGCUGUUCGCCAUUUAAAGUGGUACGCGAGCUGGGUUUAGAACGUCGUGAGACAGUUCGGUCCCUAUCUGCCGUGGGCGCUGGAGAAUUGAGGGGGGCUGCUCCUAGUACGAGAGGACCGGAGUGGACGCAUCACUGGUGUUCGGGUUGUCAUGCCAAUGGCAUUGCCCGGUAGCUAAAUGCGGAAGAGAUAAGUGCUGAAAGCAUCUAAGCACGAAACUUGCCCCGAGAUGAGUUCUCCCUGACUCCUUGAGAGUCCUGAAGGAACGUUGAAGACGACGACGUUGAUAGGCCGGGUGUGUAAGCGCAGCGAUGCGUUGAGCUAACCGGUACUAAUGAACCGUGAGGCUUAACCUUACAACGCCGAAG